rnacentral:lncRNA from 1 species
GACCACCAACGGUACCCGCUCCCCCUGUCACCACCAUCAUCACGAUGCUCGUAAGCAUCCAACAUCGCCAUCACCGUAGUGACCAAAGAUUCAGCACAAUUUAAGCAUCAAGUUGAGUAGAGAUUAAUACUUGUUUAGGCAUGUGUAUAAGAUGAGUAGAGCAGCUAAGCAAACCUAGUAUAUCCUAGACUACCCAAAUACAUAACCCCAGGUGAGCAAGGAAUAAUAAGUAAAGCUAGUCAUGUCCUUAGGGUUUGCAUUUAUUGGACACAUGCAUAUAAAGUAAAUGACAUUAAUGAGUAGGUUCAAAAUGAUCAAAUGGUGUCUGCACUUGCCUUGAUCGAAGUCGGGUUGCUCGAACUCAGCGGGAUCCUGUACCUCUUCCUUCACGAACGUCUCAUUGGCUAUACGCGACAAUCAUCAAUCAUAGGAACAAUACAUGCAAGCAAACAAACUUAAUCAGAAACAGUACACCAAAGCAUGCGAAAGCAUAAAGCAACUGCACUACUGUAUUCUACUCGAUGAAACAAAACUAUAGCGACCAGAAUCACCUAAAUCGGAGUUACGAU